AAUAGAUACCCGGGUAGUCCACGCCGUAAACGAUGAGUGCUAAGUGUUAGAGGGUUUCCGCCCUUUAGUGCUGCAGCUAACGCAUUAAGCACUCCGCCUGGGGAGUACGGCCGCAAGGCUGAAACUCAAAGGAAUUGACGGGGGCCCGCACAAGCGGUGGAGCAUGUGGUUUAAUUCGAAGCAACGCGAAGAACCUUACCAGGUCUUGACAUCCUCUGCCAACCCUAGAGAUAGGGCGUUCCCCUUCGGGGGACAGAGUGACAGGUGGUGCAUGGUUGUCGUCAGCUCGUGUCGUGAGAUGUUGGGUUAAGUCCCGCAACGAGCGCAACCCUUGAUCUUAGUUGCCAGCAUUUAGUUGGGCACUCUAAGGUGACUGCCGGUGACAAACCGGAGGAAGGUGGGGAUGACGUCAAAUCAUCAUGCCCCUUAUGACCUGGGCUACACACGUGCUACAAUGGAUGGUACAAAGAGCUGCGAAACCCGGCGAGGGUAAAGCCGAAAUCUCAUAAAGCCAUUCUCAGUUCGGA
rnacentral:rRNA from 1 species